UACGUAGGGUGCGAGCGUUGUCCGGAUUUAUUGGGCGUAAAGAGCUCGUAGGCGACUUGUCACGUCGACUGUGAAAACCCGGGGCUCAACUCCGGGCCUGCAGUCGAUACGGGCAGGCUAGAGUUCGGUAGGGGAGACUGGAAUUCCUGGUGUAGCGGUGAAAUGCGCAGAUAUCAGGAGGAACACCGAUGGCGAAGGCAGGUCUCUGGGCCGAUACUGACGCUGAGGAGCGAAAGCGUGGGGAGCGAACAGG
rnacentral:rRNA from 1 species